rnacentral:rRNA from 2 species
UAGGGAAUCUUCGGCAAUGGGGGGAACCCUGACCGAGCAACGCCGCGUGAGUGAAGAAGGUUUUCGGAUCGUAAAGCUCUGUUGUUAGGGAAGAACGAGUGUGAGAAUGGAAAGUUCAUGCUGUGACGGUACUUAACCAGAAAGGGACGGCUAACUACGUGCCAGCAGCCGCGGUAAUACGUAGGUCCCGAGCGUUGUCCGGAUUUAUUGGGCGUAAAGCGAGCGCAGGCGGUUAGAAAAGUCUGAAGUGAAAGGCAGUGGCUCAACCAUUGUAGGCUUUGGAAACUGUUUAACUUGAGUGCAGAAGGGGAGAGUGGAAUUCCAUGUGUAGCGGUGAAAUGCGUAGAUAUAUGGAGGAACACCGGUGGCGAAAGCGGCUCUCUGGUCUGUAACUGACGCUGAGGCUCGAAAGCGUGGGGAGCGAACAGG